GAUGUUAAGUAGGCAUUUGCAGGCAAAACGUUGCUUAUAAUUUGGUUGACUGCUCUUUCCUACUUUACAUU
rnacentral:pre_miRNA from 1 species